rnacentral:tRNA from 1 species
GCCCUUGUGGCUCAGUGGUAGAGCAUCCCCUUGGUAAGGGGAAGGUCGCGAGUUCAAUUCUCGCCAAGGGCU